rnacentral:rRNA from 1 species
GAUGAACGCUAGCGGGAGGCUUAACACAUGCAAGUCGAGGGGCAGCAUAGGGUAGCAAUACUCUGAUGGCGACCGGCAAACGGGUGAGUAACGCGUAUGCAGCCUACCCUGUACAGGGGGAUAACCCGGAGAAAUUCGGACUAAUAUCCCGUAAUAAUAUCCGGAGGCAUCUUUGGAUAUUUAAAGUUUCGACGGUACGGGAUGGGCAUGCGUAACAUUAGCUGGUUGGUAAGGUAACGGCUUACCAAGGCUAUGAUGUUUAGGGGUCCUGAGAGGGUGGUCCCCCACACUGGUACUGAGACACGGACCAGACUCCUACGGGAGGCAGCAGUGAGGAAUAUUGGUCAAUGGGCGCAAGCCUGAACCAGCCAUCCCGCGUGCAGGAAGACGGCCCUAUGGGUUGUAAACUGCUUUUCCAGGGAGAGAAACUUACGCACGUGUUGCGUGACUGACGGUACCCUGGGAAUAAGCAUCGGCUAACUCCGUGCCAGCAGCCGCGGUAAUCACGAG